rnacentral:tRNA from 1 species
UCCUGGUUAGCUCAGUUGGUAGAACGCUCUAUGAGAAAUAGAGAGACCCCUGGUUCGAUACCCGGACCAGGCG